rnacentral:rRNA from 1 species
UACGGAGGGUGCGAGCGUUAAUCGGAAUUACUGGGCGUAAAGCGUGCGUAGGCUGUAUGUCAAGUCAAGGGUGAAAUCCCCGGGCUCACCCCGGGAACUGCCUUUGAAACUGGCAAACUAGAGUAUGUGAGAGGGUGGCGGAGUUCCAGGUGUAGGAGUGAAAUCCGUAGAUAUCUGGAGGAACACCAGUGGCGAAGGCGGCCACCUGGCACAAAACUGACGCUGAGGUA